AAUACAUGCAAGUCGAACGAAGUAGCAAUACUUAGUGGCAGACGGGUGAGUAACAUGUGGGUAUCUUCCCUUUGGUGAGGAAUAACACGAGGAAACUUGUGCUAAUACCUCAUAAGUCUUUACGGAGAAAGCUUUAUGCGCCAUUGGAUGAGCCCGCACUUGAUUAGUUUGUUGGUGGGGUAAUGGCCUACCAAGACUUUGAUCAAUAGCUGAUUUGAGAGGAUGAUCAGCCACAUUGGGACUGAGACACGGCCCAAACUCCUACGGGAGGCAGCAGUAGGGAAUCUUGCACAAUGGAGGAAACUCUGAUGCAGCGAUGCCGCGUGAGUGAAGAAGGCCCUUGGGUUGUAAAGCUCUUUCGUCGGGGAAGAAAAUGACUGUACCCGAAUAAGAAGGUCCGGCUAACUUCGUGCCAGCAGCCGCGGUAAUACGAAGGGACCUAGCGUAGUUCGGAAUUACUGGGCUUAAAGAGUUCGUAGGUGGUUAAAAAAGUUGGUGGUGAAAUCCCAGAGCUUAACUCUGGAACUGCCAUCAAAACUUUUUAGCUAGAGUAUGAUAGAGGAAAGCAGAAUUUCUAGUGUAGAGGUGAAAUUCGUAGAUAUUAGAAAGAAUACCGAUUGCGAAGGCAGCUUUCUGGAUCAUUACUGACACUGAGGAACGAAAGCAUGGGUAGCGAAGAGGAUUAGAUACCCUCGUAGUCCAUGCCGUAAACGAUGUGUGUUAGACGUUGGAAAUUUAUUUUCAGUGUCGCAGCGAAAGCAAUAAACACACCGCCUGGGGAGUACGACCG
rnacentral:rRNA from 1 species